GACGUAGGGCGCGAGCGUUGUCCGGAUUUAUUGGGCGUAAAGAGCUCGUAGGCGGCUUGUCGCGUCGUCCGUGAAAACUUGGGGCUCAACCCCAAGCUUGCGGUCGAUACGGGCAGGCUAGAGUUCGGUAGGGGAGACUGGAAUUCCUGGUGUAGCGGUGAAAUGCGCAGAUAUCAGGAGGAACACCGGUGGCGAAGGCGGGUCUCUGGGCCGAAACUGACGCUGAGGAGCGAAAGCCAGGGGAGCAAACGGG
rnacentral:rRNA from 1 species